CUCACUAUGUUGCCCGGGCUGGUCUCAAGGUCCCAACCUCAAGCGAUCCUACCACCUCAGCCUGCCAAAGUGUUGGGAUUGCACAUGGUUCUUUUAACUUUUCUCUCCACACCCGCACCGGAGACCACUGGUAACAAUCUGUGGCCAUCACCUAAACUCUCACCCAGGUUGAUUUGUACAAAUAGCACAAGAGGACACCAACCCCAUGCAGAUGGC